rnacentral:rRNA from 1 species
CAGUCGCCGCGGUAAUACGGAGGAUGCAAGCGUUAUCCGGAAUGAUUGGGCGUAAAGGGCGCGUAGGCGGAUGUUUAAGUCAGAGGUGAAAGCCCAGGGCUCAACCUUGGAACUGCCUUUGAUACUGGACAUCUUGAGUAUGGGAGAGGUGAGUGGAACUCCGAGUGUAGAGGUGAAAUUCGUAGAUAUUCGGAAGAACACCAGUGGCGAAGGCGACUCACUGGCCCAUUACUGACGCUGAGGCGCGAAAGCGUGGGGAGCGAACAGGAUUAGAUACCCGCGUAGUCCCUGUCUCUUAUAC